UGGGGAAUUUUGCACAAUGGGGGAAACCCUGAUGCAGCGACGCCGCGUGAUUUAGAAGGCCUUCGGGUUGUAAAAAUCUUUUUUACGGGAUGAAAAUGACAGUACCGUAAGAAUAAGGUCCGGCUAAAUACGUGCCAGCAGCCGCGGUAAUACGUAUGGACCGAGCGUUGUCCGGAAUCAUUGGGCGUAAAGGGUACGUAGGCGGCCUAGUAAGUUAGAAGUGAAAUAAUAUAGCUCAACUAUAUAAAGCUUUUAAAACUGCUAGGCUUGAGAGAUGGAAGGGAAAGUGGAAUUCCUAGUGUAGCGGUGAAAUGCGCAGAUAUUAGGAAGAAUACCGGUGGCGAAGGCGACUUUCUGGUCCUCAUCUGACGCUGAGGUACGAAAGCGUGGGUAGCAAACAGG
rnacentral:rRNA from 1 species